CCCGCGCUUAGGGUCAAGGGUCAUGUACGAAGAUUUCCCGCGCUUGGUGUCAAGGGUCAAAUUCCGAGGGAUGCAGAUCAGAGAGAAGACGAGUUGUGUGAUAUAGAGGACACAUGUAAUCCACCACUGCCGGACUAGAACCCUCUUCGGGAGACAGGUCCCGUGAGGCUGCUGAUCGAGCUCGAGGGAUGACAUGACUCACAAGAGUGGCGGCAUCAAGGUAUAUGAUGCCCAGCCUUGAUGGAUGCAAAUUGGUAAGCUGCCAGCGGGAAUCUGUUCCACUCGACAUGGUCUAUCUUCAGUCGCCUGAGGAAGGAAUAGAUUGUUCCACGCAAUUCUGCCCAGUUGCCAAAGGAGAUGAUAAUCCUUUAAAGAUGAGGACACAAUAAGGAAGUUUCGAGCAAAGUAUGUACUAUAUUCCAAGAUGAUAAUCUAACAUAAAUGUUCUAUGUUUAGCA